rnacentral:rRNA from 1 species
GACGAACGCUGGCGGCGUGCCUAAUACAUGCAAGUAGGACGCAGUUGCGAACGGGUGAGUAACGCGUAGGUAACUGCCUAUUAGAGGGGGAUAACUAUUGGAAACGAUAGCUAAUACCGCAUACUAGUAGAUGGAACUGCGUUGUAUUAGCUAGUAGGUAGGGGAAUGGCCUACCUAGGAAACGAUACAUAGCCGACCUGAGAGGGUGAUCGGCCACACCGGGACUGAGACACGGCCCAGACUCCUACGGGAGGCAGCAGAUGGGAAUCUUCGGCAAUGGGGGGAACCCUGACCGAGCAACGCCGCGUGAGUGAAGGAGGUGUUCGGAUCGUAAAGCUCUGUUGUUAAGGAAGCGGUACUUGACCAGAAAGGGACGGCUAACUACGUGCCAGCAGCCGCGGUAAUUC